rnacentral:rRNA from 1 species
GACGUAGGGCGCGAGCGUUGUCCGGAUUUAUUGGGCGUAAAGGGCUCGUAGGCGGCCAACUAAGUCAGACGUGAAAUCCCUCGGCUUAACCGGGGAACUGCAUCUGAUACUGGAUGGCUUGAGUUCGGGAGAGGGAUGCGGAAUUCCAGGUGUAGCGGUGAAAUGCGUAGAUAUCUGGAGGAACACCGGUGGCGAAGGCGGCAUCCUGGACCGACACUGACGCUGAGGAGCGAAAGCCAGGGGAGCAAACGGG